AUCAUCAUAGUAUAAGAUUCAAAAGGAUGGCCAACACAUAUUUCAAACACGAAUCUAAGGUGCAAAGAAACAAAUUAGUGAAAUUAGUCAGAACUAAGUUGGUGAAAUUAUUGUUCCAAACAACACUAUAAAUGAAAUUGGACAUUCUACAUACAAGGACUCUAUAUAUUUUCCUCUGUCUUGCUGGACCAUUUUCAAUCAUCAAUUGGGUCAUGAAUCGAAAAGAUCUAGCUGAAUCCUGAAUUUUAGAUGUGAUCAAAACCAGAGUGAGAAGGAAUUUUACAAAGUAGAUGACAAGAACUUACCAACGUAGAGCGGACACUCAGGUCUCAGUGAAAACAUCAUUGCAUCUGCCAAGUUAUCUUACAUUUGAUCUAUCCACUAAGAUAAUUGAGAUAAGACAAGUUCAUGACUGAAGAAAUUUUCAAAUAUAUGCUUCAAAGUGAGCCUACCCUUCACGACUAAUACGACAUGUAUGAUUUAAGGUUCCAGCCGAACUUCCCUUUUCUUCAGGUACACCAAAUAUCAUAAAAAACACGAAGAAUCAAUCAAAUCAUGAAGAAGAUCAAACUGAAAUGGAUAGACACAAUACACAAAAAAUAAUCAUUCAAAUAAAAACCAAAUGUUUGAAAUGUAAUGACAGUCAUAAUUAGAAACUCUAUAAGAUGACAUGAAAAUGGUUGAAGACAUGUAUUAGAGGCAUUAUAUCCUUCUCAUCUUGACUCAUACAUAGUCUAUGUAGCAUUGGCAUCCUUCAAAUUUCAAUUUAACCGUCUUUCUUUCCUUUUACAUGACUAUUUAACUUGCAGAACUAAAAAAGAAAACUUGCAGAACUUACCCUCAAAUCUAAACACAAUAUACAGAAAACCAAACCAUUUUCAUCAUAGCUCAUGGUCAAAUUCAAUGCACCUACUACAGCACAAUAUAAUUAAAGUGACUCUAAUAUCACUGACUCACUUUGUAAUUUGCAAUGAACACUACAUAUGUCUACACUGUUCAUUUGGGGUUCCGACCAAACAUACAUUAGAAGUGAGUCAAAAUAUGAAGAAGGCGUUAAAAAUUAAAACUAGAACAAGAGAAGUUUCUCAGUUUGUAUAUGUAACAGAAAUAACAAGAAUCCUCU
rnacentral:lncRNA from 1 species